AGGGGUAGAGGAAGCUUGCUUCCUUGAGACCGGCGCACGGGUGCGUAACGCGUAUGCAAUCUACCUUAUACAGGGGAAUAGCCCAGAGAAAUUUGGAUUAAUGCCCCAUGGUAUUAUUGAAUGGCAUCAUUUAAUAAUUAAAGUUCCAACGGUAUAAGAUGAGCAUGCGUCCUAUUAGUUAGUUGGUGUGGUAACGGCACACCAAGACGAUGAUAGGUAGGGGUCCUGAGAGGGAGAUCCCCCACACUGGUACUGAGACACGGACCAGACUCC
rnacentral:rRNA from 1 species